GUUCUUGAUUUGGCAGCACAGCUACUAAAAUUUGAACAAUCCAGAGAAGUUAGCAUGGUCUCUGUGCAAGGAUGACACGCAAAUUUUGAAGCAUUCCGUAUUUUU
ensembl:snRNA U6 U6 spliceosomal RNA